ACGAGUUUGAUCCUGGCUCAGAACGAACGCUGGCGGCAUGCCUAACACAUGCAAGUCGAACGAGACUUCGGUCUAGUGGCGGACGGGUGAGUAACGCGUAGGAACCUGCCAAGCAGUGGGGAAUAACAGCUGGAAACGGCUGCUAAUACCGCAUACGCCCUUCGGGGGAAAGAUUUAUCGCUGUUUGAGGGUCCUGCGUUCGAUUAGCUAGUUGGUGAGGUAACGGCCCACCAAGGCGACGAUCGAUAGCUGGUCUGAGAGGAUGAUCAGCCACACUGGGACUGAGACACGGCCCAGACUCCUACGGGAGGCAGCAGUGGGGAAUAUUGGACAAUGGGGGAAACCCUGAUCCAGCAAUGCCGCGUGCGUGAAGAAGGCCUUAGGGUUGUAAAGCGCUUUCACCUGUGAUGAUGAUGACAGUAGCAGGAGAAGAAGCCCCGGCUAACUCCGUG
rnacentral:rRNA from 1 species